rnacentral:rRNA from 1 species
AUUGAACGCUGGCGGCAGGCCUAACACAUGCAAGUCGAGCGGAUGAAGAGAGCUUGCUCUCUGAUUUAGCGGCGGACGGGUGAGUAAUGCCUAGGAAUCUGCCUGAUAGUGGGGGAUAACGUUCCGAAAGGAAAGCUAAUACCGCAUACGUCCUACGGGAGAAAGCAGGGGACCUUCGGGCCUUGCGCUAUCAGAUGAGCCUAGGUCGGAUUAGCUAGUUGGUGAGGUAAUGGCUCACCAAGGCUACGAUCCGUAACUGGUCUGAGAGGAUGAUCAGUCACACUGGAACUGAGACACGGUCCAGACUCCUACGGGAGGCAGCAGUGGGGAAUAUUGGACAAUGGGCGAAAGCCUGAUCCAGCCAUGCCGCGUGUGUGAAGAAGGUCUUCGGAUUGUAAAGCACUUUAAGUUGGGAGGAAGGGCAGUAAGUUAAUACCUUGCUGUUUUGACGUUACCGACAGAAUAAGCACCGGCUAACUUCGUGCCAGCCGCCGCGGUAACAC